GGUAAUAGUUUAGUGGUUUAGAGCAUGUGCUUAGCAUGCACAAGAUCCUGGGUUCAAUCCCCAGUACCU
rnacentral:tRNA from 1 species